CAGUAGCCGCGGUAAUACAGAGGGUGCGAGCGUUAAUCGGAUUUACUGGGCGUAAAGCGUGCGUAGGCGGCUUCUUAAGUCGGAUGUGAAAUCCCUGAGCUUAACUUAGGAAUUGCAUUCGAUACUGGGAAGCUAGAGUAUGGGAGAGGAUGGUAGAAUUCCAGGUGUAGCGGUGAAAUGCGUAGAGAUCUGGAGGAAUACCGAUGGCGAAGGCAGCCAUCUGGCCUAACACUGACGCUGAGGUACGAAAGCAUGGGGAGCAAACAGGAUUAGAUACCCCAGUAGUCCCUGUCUCUUAUAA
rnacentral:rRNA from 1 species